rnacentral:rRNA from 1 species
UACGUAGGGUGCAAGCGUUGUCCGGAAUUAUUGGGCGUAAAGAGCUCGUAGGCGGUCUGUCGCGUCUGCUGUGAAAACUCGGGGCUUAACCCCGGGCCUGCAGUGGGUACGGGCAGACUAGAGUGCGGUAGGGGAGACUGGAAUUCCUGGUGUAGCGGUGGAAUGCGCAGAUAUCAGGAGGAACACCGAUGGCGAAGGCAGUUCUCUGGGCCGUAACUGACGCUGAGGAGCGAAAGCGUGGGGAGCGAACAGG